UUUAUUAAGAGUUUGAUCCUAGCUCAGGAUGAACGCUAGCGGUGUGCCUAAGAUAUGCAAGUCGAACGCUCCGAUGAUCCCGCAAGGGGCUAUCGGAGAGUGGCGGACGGCUGAGUAACACGUACAAACUUACCCCCCUCUUGAGAAUACCCCCGCGAAAGCGGAGCUAAUACUCAAUGGUUCCCGCCGUUUUUGACGGCGGGAUAAAGGGCGUAACUGCUCGGAAGGGGAGAGGUGUGCGGACUAUCAGGUAGUUGGUGGGGUAAUAGCCUACCAAGCCUAUGACGGUUAUCCGGUUUGGGAAGAACGGCCGGACAGAGGAGCACUGAGACACGGGCUCCACACCUACGGGUGGCAGCAAUUAGGAAUAGUUGGCAAUGGGGGAAACCCUGACCACGCGACACCGCGUGUAGGAAGACGCUCUAAUCGAGUGUAAACUACUGUGGUAGGGGAAGAAGGUUCCGCUUAUGCGGGAUUUGACGGUACCUUACUAGAAAGUGUCCGCUAACUGCGUGCCAGCAGCGGCGGUAAUACGUGGGACACAAGCGUUAUCCGGUGUGACUGGGCGUAAAGAGUGUGUAGGCGGUUUGGUAAGUUACUUCUUAAAGACCCCGACUCAAUCGGGGGAAGGGGAGUAAUACUGCCUGACUAGAGUUUUCUUUAGGGAAAUCGGAAUUCACAGAGGAGUAGUGAAAUGCGUUGAUACUGUGAAGAACACCAGUGGCGAAGGCGGAUUUCUGGAAGAUAACUGACGCUGAGACACGAAAGCUAGGGGAGCGAACCGGAUUAGAGACCCGGGUAGUCCUAGCCGUAAACGAUGCUCGCUGGCUGCAUGACUCGCCUUUGGCGUGUCGUGUGGCGAAGCUAACGCGUUAAGCGAGCCGCCUGGGGAGUACGGUCGCAAGGCUGAAACUCAAAGGAAUUGGCGGGGAGACACACAACUAGUGGAGCAUGUGGUUUAAUUCGAUACAAACCGAAGCACCUCACCAGGGUUCGACAUGUAAGAUGCCUCCCAGCAGAAACGUUGGGAUUCCGAAAGGACGCUUACAAAGCUGUUGCAUGGCUGUCGUCAGUUCGUUCCGUGAGGAGUGCCCUUAAGUGGGACAACGAACGCAACCUUUGUCCUGAGUUACAAGUAUCUCAGGAGACUGCCCUUGCUAUCGCGGGGGAGGAAGGAGAAGCAGACGUCAAGUCAGCAUGAUGCCUAUGCCCUGGGCUACACACAUGCUACAAUGAGCCAGAUAGAGAGUUGCGACACUGCAAAGUGGAGCUAAUCUUUCGUUAAACUGGCUCUCAGUGGGGAUUGGGGUCUGAAAUUCGACCCCAUGAACGUGGAAUUAGUAGUAAUCGCGGGUCAGCUAUACCGCGGUGAAUACGUUCUUGUCUCUUGCACACACUGCCCGUCAAGCCAACAAAGUCGGGGGUACCCGAAUUCCGCUUUAAUGCGGAAGAGGGUAAAUUCGGCGAUGGGGGCUAAGUCGUAACAAGGUACUCGUUCUGGAAGGAGCGGGUGAAUCACCUCCUUU
rfam:Candidatus Roizmanbacteria bacterium RIFCSPHIGHO2_01_FTLL_39_24 rifcsphigho2_01_scaffold_4609, whole genome shotgun sequence.